CUCCGCAGGAAAUUUUACUACCAUGACUCUUUCAUCUCUCUCCUGGUUUGAAGAUAAAUGAUCCUUGGACUCUUCUGGACCUGCAUAAAUCACAAAAGCAAUCUACUAAGAGAGCUGCCUGUGGCACCGACUUCGGCUGGAAUUGAAAAGGACAGUCAAAAAUAUCCACGGUUGCUUACAAAAGGGUUAACCCAAACCAUCCUCUGGGCAAGAGGGGAGGAGGCCGGUGGUGGGACUGCAGCUCCAUGGGGUGGGAAGGACCCCAGGAGAGAGGGCACCGAUCACAGCACCUCCUGUGUCUGGGCACAGGGCUCCAUCCCUAAGACAGAUGGGUCUGGGCGCAUCUUCCCGGGGUACUGAAUUUGCCCCUGGGUGUCAGAUGGGUGUGACACCAUCCCUGCCCUAACCGUGGGGCUUGCCCGUUAACCCAUCUCUGGACAACGGGCUGAGGUCAGUGAGGUGUCACCUUUGAAGUCUGGGCUUUGGGAGGGGCAGCUCGCCAUGUAUAUAAUUGAUCUGAGCCUUUGAUGAGGUUUUAUCUGCAGGAUGGAGAAGCCUCAAUGCUCUGUCAGUCUCAGCACUGUAUUUCUAUUCUCAGAAAUGUCCUGUGAGGGUCCAACCUGAUGGUGAUGACACCCAAAGCACCAGCGACAAGGCACAAGGUGAAACCCCCCCCAUGCUCUGCUCUCACUUGAGAGAUGACUACAUGGUGGCACCGGCAGCCAGCUCCUGCACCGCCAGAGCAAACGUGCCUGGAUUCAGGACUUUGUGGGAGACACAAAAUGGAGGCAGCCUGAAGCACAGCCCGGUGAGUGGGGAGACGAUGGUCAGGACAGGAGAGGAAGAAGCCUGGAAAGUGACAGACAGACGGACAGGCUUGACGUGAGGAGGAGAUGACAGCCGGGAGUUGCAGGUGUGGAAGAGAAAAGGCAAGGAAGGCAGCAUGCUUUGCUCCAUCAGAGACUGACUUCUGCACAGUCUUUGUGUCCCCGUUGAUGCUGGGUCACUGGGAUCGUGGCGGAAAUUUUCUCUUUUCAUCAGGUCAUGGCUUGAGAAAUGUUAACUCUUCAAGUGAAGCUCGGAGCCAAAACCAAUUCUUCUUAGAGGAAAUACCAACAUUUCUGCUAGUGCCUCAUAGCUGAAAAACAGAAAUGAACACACGGCUGCUGGCUGCGUUUAGACUGGAAGUCCUCUGGAAAAAGCACUGCGGCAUCCCUCGGCCAUUGGUGGCAGCGCUACGGAGCGGACUGCUCGGCUUUACUUUGAUUGGAAUGGAAGGCAGACUUGCUACUUGAGGACACUCUGUAAUGGUGUGGUGUAAAACCAUGGUUACAGAAAACAAAGUAUGGGAAGAUGUUUGAAGUGACAACAGUGACAGCAAACCCCCCACCAGCUGGUGACAUGGCACAAACAUAGCACACCCAUGGCACAGACGGAGCAGCCCAGGUGCCCGGGCUCGCCUGCAAUGCCCUUGGUGAUGGAUGCCCAGGCACAAGGGAUUUCACCAGGCACACAGCUGCUAGGUCACUCCACAAGGGCGAAGAAGGUCACACCACCCUUGCGGAAAGCCGCAAAGCUCAGCAGCUCUUCUAGGAUCAGCCCUGUGCCCUGCUCCUGGGCCUCACAUCAUGGCCCUGGACGUCUUCUGCUGGCCCCCAGCCACUGCUGAAGCCAUCAGGACCCAUAGAGCAGGAAGAGCUGCUCUCUGAUGCAACUUCUCCAGCAGGCGCAGCCCCAGAGGAGGAGGAGGACCCGCGUGCUGCCCGUGGCGCAGGUCACCAGAGGGCAUCACUGAGACUCCAGAGCCCGAACCCGCCUUAAGUUAGACCAGAAAUGCUACGAUCAGGGGCAUCCCUGGGCUCCCCGAUUCCCUGCGUUUCGCUGCAAAAACCCGGGGGUUGUGCAGGCAUCGGGGAGCAGAGCUGCGGUGCUGCGCCCCCAAACUUCCCUGCAUCCCCACCGGGCCCUCAUCCUUCUGCAGGGCCAGCAGCCCAGGGGCAACUAAAUUUUUUUUUUUCUUUUAAAUGAAUGAACAACAUAAACGCAUAAAUAAACACGGAUCCUCACCAUUGCAAAUUAAGGCCAUAUUGCAGGGGAAAUUGAAUCCAAAGAAUGCAAGCAGCCAAACAAACAAACAAGCGAGCAGCAAAAGAAAACCAAUUAUUUUGGAGGGAGUCGCAAAUGAGCAAACAAAACCACGAAUGGCCCCAGCCUCCAGCACCCCUGCAAGGGCUCCGUCACAGCCCGCUGGGAGCGAGGCCCGGGCGAGACUCCUGCCUCUCCGUGAUGCCUCCGCUCCCUGUGCCUUAUUUAUAUCCGAUUAAAAUGAUUAAAUCGCGACACGUGAGUUUGUGUGAGGAGCCUGGCACCAUUUUUAUUUAUUUAUUUAUUUAUUUAUUUUGGUUAAGCCAAAAUUUUCAGAAACGUUAGCCAAUAAUGCCCUAAACGCAGGCUGCCAGCUCCUUUUGGCACUUCGUAGCCCAAAAAAAAGGGCUGCAGGGCCCAAGCCCGCCCAGCCGCCUGAACACGCGCGAACCGCCCGCUGAUAGAUUUACUGCUUGUCCCAUCCUUUGGCAGAUUUUGUUGAUUUUAGCCAAAAAAUAUUCAAGAUUUCUGGCCGAGUGUUAUUCCCUGUCAGGGCGAGCGGCGGGAUCUGGCCCCACUUGUUGUCCCCUCCC